UACACAAAGUCUUAAGAGUUGGAUGGGACCUCAAAAGAUCAUCUAGUCCAACCCCCCUGCCAGAGCAGGGCCACCUGCAGUAGGUUACAGAGGAACUCAUCCAGAUACUUGUUGCUUCCUCAUUCGGUGAAAAUGGAGCAAACCUACAUGGGAAAUGGCAUGCCUCAGCCAGAGGAGACUGCUAUGCAGAGGCUCAAGAUGGUCUCCAAGCUACCCACAAGGCUUAAGCAGAUGUGGAGUGCCACAAAUGCAGCUGUACAUUAUUGCUGACCCAUAGAUCUCAAGAUUUCAAGAUUCACUUCAGCCUCCAGAUGACAAAGGGGUGGAAAUCUGCGAAAUACACCUUCUCAAUUAAAACUUCUAAUAUUGUUUCUUCCAGUUAACACACCUGGGAAUUCUAAAAAUCCUGGCUAUGGGACUACCUAUUAUCAGGCUGCAUAUUAACCUGUCUUAUAUGCAUUCCCACAUCCAAAAUAAUCUACACAUAUGUUUGACAUGAAGUGGCAAGCUCUGAGAGUACAGCUUUUAGGCAGGUAGAAAUUUAAUGGCUUUCUGUGAGAGAUUUAUCAAAACUGAACCAUCCCCAAAACUAUUUUAAAAUCAAAACAUUAAAAAAAAAAAAUAUAGUGUCAUUUUUUAAAAACCAAUUCUAAUAAGAGCAAAUAAAGAAAGUCUCAAAACUUAACGGGAGGAACUAACAGGAAAAGGAUCUGUACCAGUGUCAUAACAUCUAAUUGUUUGAUGCAAAGUAUGAGGAUAAAUGGAGACACAGUAGCCACUAACUAUAUAAUUACCUGGCCAUCUAACUGUCACUCUUUAUGACAAACUGAACUUUCCAAAGCAAGUGUAUUAGAGAAAGUAGUUAGGAAAAACAUGUAUACACACACUUCACAGUAUAGUACUUCUAUGUAUGUAUUUCUUUUUCCCUCUUUUGUAAGAUUGUGUAGAACUUUGGUCAUUUAGCAAAGUGUAGGCAUGACGUUUAUGUGCUACAUAUUUGGUACAAUGGACAGUGAUCCUAAAGUAUUAAACGUAUUUCUCCUUUAAACCUUUGAUCUCUGUAACAAGAUGGAAGCACCUGUCCUAUAUGCUUUGCUUCGCCCCCAGUCCUUCCUUCUGAAAGUGUUUAUGUGAGAGGCAGUAAUUCAGAAAAAGCAUCACUAUUCUCUGGUAAGUCAGGUCACCUGAAGAGGAGUCUCCCCUAAAGAGGAGGUCUUGGAUUUUUGGUACUAUUUUAUAAAGUAUACAUGAGAAAGAGAUUUUGUCAGUAGAGACAUUUUUGACAGGGAACACAGGGCUUGAGGGUUUUUCACUUCAAGUUAGGGGAAACAGAAACACCAGCAAUACAGAUCUGACCUUUCUGAGUUACAGGGCUCUCUGGUUCAAGGAAAGAUUUCUGUUGUGUUUAGCUGUAAAUGAGCACUCUAUACAUUCUAUAUGCUCUCUUCCUUUCCUGCGAGUAGGUGCAUUCAUUAUUCCUAACUUUUCCCUCCUUUUUACAAGUGAGUGUUUGGAGGUAGGCAGAAUGUACAGCUUUUAAACAACUUUACUAGAUGAUCAGAAUUCAGGCAAAAGAGGCAAGGCGUUUCCUAGGGUCCAUCUGAACUGAUGGACAGGGUGUGGCACUCCAGAAAUUCACAAUGCCUUUGAACUGCCUCUUCCCAUUGACUACAGAAGGAGCUGUCAUUGUCCACUUGUAUGGUGAAUUUGAGUGAAUAUUUUUGUUGGUGUUCAAAGCUGAUGCAUGAAGAUACUAAUUUCUUACUCCAGAAAAAUAUUCAUAAGGUAUUACUAGAAGAGACAGAAAACAUAAUUGUUAUUGGAGAUAGUCUUUAAAG